UCCUUUAGAUUCAUUUUUCUUCAAGUGACGUUGUCUCCAUGUUCACGUUUGGAGCUGUGGAUUCCUUGCUAAAAUUACAAUACAGAGUUUGGAGCUUCUAGCUGUUGCAAAUGUUAAUCAAGGAUCCCUACACUUAGAUUAACAUUGCAGGAUUCAUUGGACGGCUUAAAAUUUGCCUCUCCAACUUCAUGUAAGUAUAUUUGACACCAUUUUUAUAUAUCUAAACUCUUAACAAAUGAUGAUCCCUAAUCAUUUUCUUUCGCCUAUCUAAUUGCACAUAUUGAACCUUACUCUUGGAUUUGCAUAUGGAGUCCACCAAAUGAUGGGAGAAAACCAAGUAAUGGACCUCUAUAUAUCUUGCUAAAGCAGAACAACUAGUCAAUGUUCAUGUAAUGCAAGCACGUGUGCUAAGAAUGUCAAGAUGAAAUCAACACAACUUCAAGGGAGUGAUAUGUCAACCUUGGAUGGAAGACUUGAAUAAAAUGUCUAGC